rnacentral:rRNA from 1 species
AAAAAAGGUAAGCUACUAAGAGCGAAUGGUGGAUGCCUUGACUGGUAAAGGCGAUGAAGGACGUACUAGACUGCGAUAAGCUACGGGGAGCUGUCAAGAAGCUUUGAUCCGUAGAUUUCCGAAUGGGGCAACCCAAUGUAUAGAGAUAUACAUUACCUAUAUAGGAGCGAACGAGGGGAAUUGAAACAUCUUAGUACCCUCAGGAAAAGAAAUCAAUAGAGAUUGCGUCAGUAGCGGCGAGCGAAAGCGCAAGAGGGCAAACCCAGUGCUUGCACUGGGGGUUGUAGGACUGUAAUGUGCAAGAGGUAAGUUUAGCAGAACAUUCUGGAAAGUAUAACCAUAGAGGGUGAUAGUCCCGUAUGCGAAAAACAAACCUUAGCUAGCAGUAUCCUGAGUAGGGCGGGACACGAGGAAUCCUGUCUGAAUCCGGGUCGACCACGAUCCAACCCUAAAUACUAAUACCAGAUCGAUAGUGCACAAGUACCGUGAGGGAAAGGUGAAAAGAACUGAGGUGAUCAGAGUGAAAUAGAACCUGAAACCAUUUGCUUACAAUCAUUCAGAGCCUUAUGUAGCAAUACAGGGUGAUGGACUGCCUUUUGCAUAAUGAGCCUGCGAGUUGUGGUGUCUGGCAAGGUUAAGCAAACGCGAAGCCGUAGCGAAAGCGAGUCUGAAUAGGGCGCUUAGUCAGAUGCUGCAGACCCGAAACGAAGUGAUCUAUCCAUGAGCAAGUUGAAGCUAGUGUAAGAACUAGUGGAGGACUGAACCCAUAGGCGUUGAAAAGCCCCGGGAUGACUUGUGGAUAGGGGUGAAAGGCCAAUCAAACUUCGUGAUAGCUGGUUCUCUCCGAAAUAUAUUUAGGUAUAGCGUUGUGUCGUAAUAUAAGGGGGUAGAGCACUGAAUGGGCUAGGGCAUACACCAAUGUACCAAACCCUAUCAAACUCCGAAUACCUUAUAUGUAAUCACAGCAGUCAGGCGGCGAGUGAUAAAAUCCGUCGUCAAGAGGGAAACAACCCAGACUACCAGCUAAGGUCCCUAAAUCUUACUUAAGUGGAAAACGAUGUGAAGUUACUUAAACAACCAGGAGGUUGGCUUAGAAGCAGCCAUCCUUUAAAGAAAGCGUAAUAGCUCACUGGUCUAGUGAUUUUGCGCGGAAAAUAUAACGGGGCUAAAGU